CGGCGAAAUUCAGGUUGUUUUUGCGAGUCACUUUCUCCGCAUCUUCGCUGCAUAGAACGGCUACCAUCGGGACAAACGAGUCCUGGAUGAACUCCUGCACGGACUGAACGCACUGGGCCAUGGCAGACCAGUAGACAGCAGCCAUGUUGGAUCCUCCCGUAGCCUGCUGAUCUGCGCUGCUUCCUGAGUGCGACCAGAAGACAGUCACGUGAUGCCGGUGUGAUGCCACCUUGCAGAAACUCACUGGAUGGGACGUGGACGUUUUUUUUGCUUUUUUUUUACGCUUGUACACAACAUAUGUUACAAUAAACGUUGAACUAAACGUUAAAUAGUA